GACCUAUUAGCUUAAUUGGUUAGAGCGUUGUGCUAAUAACACGAAAGUCACAUGUUCGAUUCCAUAAGUCC
rnacentral:tRNA from 1 species